CAGCCGGACAGUCAUCUCAUCCACUUGUUAUUCUUAUUACUCCUGUUUGAAAUUUAGUUAACAUUAAAUGUAUUAUUGUGGUGGUGGGGGUGGAGGGGGUGGUGAUAAUCGUGGUCGCUUUCCAUUAAAGAGUUGGGAAAUGGAUGAUGGCGGUGAGUAUGGAGAAAUUACUCUAUUUUUUGGCGACGGCAGGUCGUGAUGUUGCCAUCACUGCGGGGGAACGCCAGAGUCUGGCAAAAAAGGAUAUAGAGCUCUGGAGCCGAAAUUUUGACUUUAGUCGUCAACUGGACGAACUUUACCAUCAUAUGGGGAAAACGACGUUGUCGAGCGGAGAAGCGGAGAAGCGGAGAUUGAUGGAUAAGGAGAUUGAUUUUAUGUAUGCAAAUUUAAAGUCGGAACACGAGAAAGUGGACAUGCGCCAGAACCUGGCUUUGUCACUUGAAAGUGGAACAUUUCGACCAAUGACAAAUCACCCUAAAAGUCUUGGGGUUAUUUUAUUUACCGAAUUUCGUCGAAUUGGUGGAGCUGGUUUUUCCUGAGCUCCACAAGAGUUCCUUCUCGACCCUGUUCCGGAACUCGUAGCAGAAGCUGAAGAAGCCAAAGUUGGCUGUCUCCCAGGAGGACAACCUAGAAAAAGAGGAAGUCGAGUUAAUUUUUUUCUCCAUCACACAUCUGGGUGCAUUUAAGCCAUCACACAUCUACUCGAGAUUAUGUGUUUUGAUUUAAUUUCAACUCUUUCAUCUUUCAUGCAUCCAUAAUUUGUAACGUCGUCGUACUAAUCUAUUCACGAAACUACCAAAUUAUCCGAGAACGUCAAAGCUUUGCACAAAAAAAUAUACAAAAUUAUCACAUAAAUUGCUUCAAUAACACCCGAGUGGAUUUUUUACGAAACAUUUAUUGUGUUAAAGUAAUCUCGGAGAAGCCGGCAAUUAACCUCUAACGAACAAUCGCGGCUGGUUUUUGCUAUCUCCUUUAUUGAUGAGUAGUCAGACCGACCACACCUCCACAAUGUACAUAUGCGCAUGUAUUUUGGAGAAAUCAGUACAAAAACAAAAUAAAUCCUCGUUUCGUUUGAAAGAAAUGCAAUUGCAUUUCAGUUUGUGAUGCUUUUGAAAUGCACACAAUUUGAGUUCUUAUUCAUUUCAUCUCAUUUAUCAGUGAAGCAAUUUAUCUGUUGUUUUUGGUGUACCUCGGAUGAUUGGACGACUACGACGCGAUUGGGGACAGUUGUCCAAGCGUCUUGGUAAUGUACAAUAGCCCGGGAUAUGCAUAUCAUCCUCACAAAAGUAACAAACUUGAACACCAACAGGCACCAAAACUAAAAAUUUGAGAAAAUAAAUUAACAAGGCAAAAAUUAAAUUAUUCUAAAAAAUUACGCACUUAUGUAAAGUUUAAAAACUACAAAUACAUUAGUUUAGAAAUCAUAAAAAUAAAAUUACGUUUGUUAUCAUAGCUGGGCAACGAGGACAAUAUGUCAGCAUUGAUUGUUCCACAUCGUUCUUCAUAGAUAUUAGCGAGGGAUAAAUAGCGAUACAAAUUUUAGCAGCAUGUAUUUACAUAACUUCACUCCCAGGAAUUGGACGUCAUGUUUUUAAUAUAACAAGCUGGAAUUCGCAAAAAAUCAUGUUCAUGCAAAAAACACAAGUGGAAGGCUUACAAAAUAAAAAAUGCACACGAAAACAACAGCAGAAAUCACAAAUUAUAGUUUAUUGUAAUUAUGCAUAAAUGUAUAAUUGAAGGCAAGUUGCAUUUGGUAACAUUUCGGUUAAGUAACUUGAAUUAUAAUACAUAAUUCUACCCGAUUUGUGGAACUAGUCGUAUUACUAACUAACUACAGUUUGUAUACGUACAAUUCAACAUUUUUUGGUUUUAUAUUCAAGACCAGCUAUAGAUUUCAAAGGUUUGGUCAGUGACCUAUUUAUCAUUAAAGCACCACGUGAAUCGAGUCGACUAAUAGAGUUUUGUAGCAGGUAAUUAUUGACGACCUGUUAUUGGAAUUAUUUGGACGGAAUAUACCAGUUUAUACCAAUUGUUUUUGGGGAGCAUAAGGUUUUACAAAUGUAAAUGCAGAUUUGUAGUUAAAUACAUAAAAUUGAAUGCAGGAUAAUUAUUAAUCGAAUGGAGUACUUUUAAUAAUAAGAAUAUUUACGAAAUAAC